rfam:Vitis vinifera, whole genome shotgun sequence of line PN40024, unordered unoriented unplaced sequences
AGGCAGUGAUGACAGAAAUCAUUUCUCGAUUCUGAUUAGAAUUUCAUGAGACCAAAAGCGAGUGUACGUUCUUUUGUCGAACGUAUACGGCUUUCUGAUGACUGCAUUUGUGCGUGUCUGAGCCUC